GAUCAGCGGAGGAAGCAACGGCGCGAGAGUCUCGAUAGCCUGAACGAGAAGGUCUCCGAUCUGGCCUGCAAUCUCGGUCAGCAACGGCGACAUCUGCCGGAACUGCUCCGAGAUCACUGGGAGAAUCGGCAUCAGGGCAUCAGACAACGCCUGGACC
rnacentral:misc_RNA from 1 species